rnacentral:rRNA from 1 species
UCAAGCACAAAAGUGCAUCUGGUGGAUGCCUUGGCAGCUGAAGGCGAUGAAGGACGUUAUAGCCUGCGAUAAGCCUCGGGGAGUCGGCAAAUAGACUUUGAUCCGGGGAUUUCCGAAUGGGGAAACCCACCGCUCCGGCGGUAUCUGCACCUGAAUACAUAGGGUGUAGAGGCGAACUUGGGGAACUGAAAUAUCUAAGUACCCAAAGGAAAAGAAAUCAACAGAGAUUCCCUUAGUAGCGACGAGCGAACGGGGACCAGCCCUUAAGUUUAUAUCUUGUUAGUGGAAGCUUCUGGAAAGUAGCGCGAUAGAGGGUGAUAGCCCCGUACACGAAAGCAAGAUAUAGAUGAAAUCGAGUAGGACGGGGCACGUGAAACCUUGUCUGAACAUGGGGGGACCAUCCUCCAAGGCUAAAUACUCUCAGCUGACCGAUAGUGAACCAGUACCGUGAGGGAAAGGCGAAAAGAACCCCUGUGAGGGGAGUGAAAUAGAACCUGAAACCGGAUGCAUACAAGCAGUGGGAGCCUGUCUUCGGACGGGUGACUGCGUACCUUUUGUAUAAUGGGUCAGCGAGUUACUUUUACUGGCAAGGUUAACCGUAUAGGGGAGCCGUAGGGAAACCGAGUCUUAAUAGGGCGCUUAGUCGGUAGGAGUAGACCCGAAACCGGGCGAUCUAGCCAUGGGCAGGUUGAAGGUUGAGUAACAUCAACUGGAGGACCGAACCCACUAAUGUUGAAAAAUUAGGGGAUGACCUGUGGUUAGGAGUGAAAGGCUAAUCAAGCCCGGAGAUAGCUGGUUCUCCUCGAAAUCUAUUUAGGUAGAGCCUCUCGUAUUACCAUCGGGGGUAGAGCACUGUUUGGGCUAGGGGGUCAUCUCGACUUACCAACCCCAUGCAAACUCCGAAUACCGAUGAGUACAGCGAGGGAGACACACGGCGGGUGCUAACGUCCGUCGUGGAAAGGGAAACAACCCAGACCGCCAGCUAAGGUCCCUAAAUUACAGUUAAGUGGGAAACGAUGUGGGAAGGCCCAGACAGCCAGGAGGUUGGCUUAGAAGCAGCCAUCCUUUAAAGAAAGCGUAAUAGCUCACUGGUCGAGUCGGCCUGCGCGGAAGAUGUAACGGGGCUAAAACUGUAUACCGAAGCUGCGGACACAUACUUUGUAUGUGUGGUAGAGGAGCGUUCUGUAAGCCUGUGAAGGUGUGCUGGAAAGCAUGCUGGAGGUAUCAGAAGUGCGAAUGCUGACAUGAGUAACGAUUAAGGAGGUGAAAAUCCUCCUCGCCGAAAGACCAAGGUUUCCUGCGCAACGUUCAUCGGCGCAGGGUUAGUCGGCCCCUAAGGCGAGGCCGAAAGGCGUAGUCGAUGGGAAACAGGUUAAUAUUCCUGUACCGGAUAUAGCUGCGAUGGGGUGACGGAGAAGGUUAGGCUGGCCUGGCGAUGGUUGUCCAGGUUUAAGCACGUAGGCUGGGGACUUAGGUAAAUCCGGGUCUCUAAGGCCGAGAUGUGAUGACGAACCGUUCUUAUACGAUCGGGAAGUGGUCGAUACCAUGCUUCCAAGAAAAACCUCUAAGCUUCAGGCUAUAAACGACCGUACCCCAAACCGACACAGGUGGUCGGGUAGAGAAUACCAAGGCGCUUGAGAGAACUCGGGUGAAGGAACUAGGCAAAAUGGCACCGUAACUUCGGGAGAAGGUGCGCCGCUGACGGUGAUGGGACUAGCUCCCUAAGCUAUCGGCGGUCGAAGAUACCAGGUGGCUGCGACUGUUUAUUAAAAACACAGCACUCUGCAAACACGUAAGUGGACGUAUAGGGUGUGACGCCUGCCCGGUGCCGGAAGGUUAAUUGAUGGGGUUAGCACUUGUGCGAAGCUCUUGAUCGAAGCCCCGGUAAACGGCGGCCGUAACUAUAACGGUCCUAAGUAGCGAAAUUCCUUGUCGGGUAAGUUCCGACCUGCACGAAUGGCGUAACGAUGGCCACACUGUCUCCACCCGAGACUCAGUGAAAUUGAAAUCGCGGUGAAGAUGCCGUGUACCCGCGGCUAGACGAAAGACCCCGUGCACCUUUACUAUAGCUUCACACUGGACUUUGGCUUAAUUUGUGUAGGAUAGGUGGGAGACUAUGAAGCAGCGACGCUAGUCGUUGUGGAGUCGUCCUUGAAAUACCACCCUGAUUACGUUGAGGUUCUAACUCAGGUCCGUUAUCCGGAUCGAGGACAGUGUGUGGUGGGUAGUUUGACUGGGGCGGUCUCCUCCCAAAGAGUAACGGAGGAGUACGAAGGUACACUCAGCAUGGUCGGAAAUCAUGCAAUGCGUAUAAAGGCAGAAGUGUGCUUGACUGCGAGCCCGACGGGGCGAGCAGGGACGAAAGUCGGUCUUAGUGAUCCGGUGGUUCUGUAUGGAAGGGCCAUCGCUCAACGGAUAAAAGGUACGCCGGGGAUAACAGGCUGAUACCGCCCAAGAGUUCACAUCGACGGCGGUGUUUGGCACCUCGAUGUCGGCUCAUCACAUCCUGGGGCUGAAGCCAGUCCCAAGGGUAUGGCUGUUCGCCAUUUAAAGUGGUACGCGAGCUGGGUUUAGAACGUCGUGAGACAGUUCGGUCCCUAUCUGCCGUGGGCGUAUGAGAUUUGAGAGGAGCUGCUCCUAGUACGAGAGGACCGGAGUGGACGAACCUCUGGUGUUCCGGUUGUCACGCCAGUGGCAUUGCCGGGUAGCUAUGUUCGGAAGGGAUAACCGCUGAAAGCAUCUAAGCGGGAAGCCCCCCUCAAGAUGAGAUCUCACUAAUCUAGCGAUUCUGAAGGGCCCUCGAAGACUACGAGGUCGAUAGGCAGGGUGUGUAAGCGUUGUGAGGCGUUGAGCUAA